rnacentral:rRNA from 1 species
CUGUCGUCAGCUCGUGUCGUGAGAUGUUGGGUUAAGUCCCGCAACGAGCGCAACCCUUAUUGCUAGUUACCAUCAUUGAGUUGGGGACUCUAGCGAGACUGCCAGUGAUAAACUGGAGGAAGUGGGGAUGACGUCAAAUCAUCAUGCCCCUUAUGACCUGGGCUACAAACGUGAUACAAUGGCUGAAACAAAGGGCAGCGAAGCAGUGAUGUGGGAGCGAAACCCAAAAAGCAGUCUCAGUUCGGAUUGAAGUCUGCAACUCGACUUCAUGAAGUCGGAAUCGCUAGUAAUCGCGGAUCAGAACGCCGCGGUGAAUACGUUCUCGGGGUUU